rnacentral:rRNA from 1 species
CAGUCGCCGCGGGAAUACGAGGGGGGCAAGCGUUGUUCGGAAUUAUUGGGCGUAAAGGGAGCGUAGGCGGUUUUGUAAGUCGUGUGUGAAAUCUUCGGGCUCAACCCGAAGUCUGCACACGAAACUGCAGGGCUUGAGUAUGGGAGAGGUGAGUGGAAUUCCUGGUGUAGCGGUGAAAUGCGUAGAUAUCAGGAGGAACACCUGUGGCGAAAGCGGCUCACUGGACCAUUACUGACGCUGAGGCUCGAAAGCUAGGGGAGCAAACAGGAUUAGAUACCCGCGUAGUCCCUGUCUCUUAUAC